UACGGAGGAUCCAAGCGUUAUCCGGAAUCAUUGGGCUUAAAGGGCGCGUAGGCGGCGGCGUAAGUUGGAAGUGAAAUCCCAUCGGCUCAACCGGGGAAUUGCUCCCAGUACUGCGUCGCUCGAGGGGGAUAGGGGUCUGCGGAACUACCGGUGGAGCGGUGAACUGUGUUGAUAUCGGUGGGAACGCCAGUGGCGAAAGCGGCAG
rnacentral:rRNA from 1 species